rnacentral:lncRNA from 1 species
GGGAUGUCAGCAGCUGCAAAACGAGCCCGCCUCCCUUCCCGGUAUCCUCGCGGCCACCCCGCGGAAGGUGGCGCCGCGCCAGGCGGGCACCAGAACCGGCGCAGCCACGCCCUGCCGAGGGUGCAGACAACCAAGGAGACACCUCGCGAACAAUCAAGUCAAUGGCCGAGUGAUGGCUUGGGCUUCAGAGCAGGAAGAGUUUGAACCCAGCUCGAUUAAGUACUGGCUGACCUAGGGACGAAUCCUGCCCCUGGGGAAUGUGAGUCUUCAGACCUUCCUGUCCUCCUCCCCUGACGCCCUCCAGUUUCCCGACAUUGCGCUUCAAACGUGUCACCCAGAACAGUGCCCACGGCUGCCCACAAAGGACUGGAGACGGCUCCAUCCCGAUGGGGACCAGGGACGCGGGGGCUUCCUCAUGUCCCAUGGAAUCCAAGCGCAGCCAACGCCUCCGCGUCUUUCCUCCUCCGCCCCCAGUUCUGGAGCACCUGGGCAUCAGAUCGAGGAUUCCAUAUUUAGUCCUAUUCAGUUCCCUCUGUGUCUUUCAACCUCUUGUUCUACCUAGGCUGUCACCAUUUUUGAAUCCAGAUAAGUUAGAUUACACCCUAGUUUUGUUUUGUCUGAAAAUCUGGUCGUCUGCUUUCGUGGUCUUCACUUCAGUCCUUGAUGAAAAUGUUGCACACGACUCGGGCCAGGCCAGAGGCCGUGGCGCCUCUCCGGAGACUGACCUCCAGAUGGGCAUUGCUCACUCAUCGAGAGACUUUUGUCUUGUUUCUAGUAACUCUUUCUAGCUGCUACAACCUAAUUGUACUAUUUCCUAGGCUACUUUUUCCAUGUCUUCCAUGAGGUUAUCACAGAAAGUCAGAUGUUUUGAUGGAAUCAAGGUGUUCCAUAUCCACAGCAUUUCUAUGGCCUGACAACCCAACCCAAGAAGAAAGGACUCCCUUUGGCCUGCGUUGCUAAUAGUAAGCUUUUAAUUUUUUUAUCCUUGAAAAAAGGAUAGAAAGUAUUCAUUUUAUUAAAAUUCCAAAAUACAGAUAGAUGAAAAGGAAUUUUAAAGCACUCUAAGUCCC